CCUUUGUAUAAAAAAUAUAAGUUAAUUUCAAUGUUUAGGUUUCGGGGAUGGAGUGUGUUGGAGGGCGCAGUCAAAAGCUCAUACACCCCAGACACGCACACCCAUUCGCGCGCGCGUUCACCUAAUCACACAACCAAUUCAUAAUGUGCACACGCGCGCACACAGACACACACGCUCUUAGUCAGAAAGUGCAUGACUGCCAUUGUAAGAUAGCACCAAUCAAAGCAAACAGCAUACUUUGUCCUAAUUCAAUUCUAGCAUGUAAGCAUUGCCAACACUAUACACAUAUGGCUGUGUUGUACUGUAUAUAUGUAACAUCAUAUCAGGGUGGGGGGGCAUUCACUUCACAAUCAAUUCCAAAUGUAAACCAAAUUUGAAAUAAAAAUACAUUGAAGAGACCUUGAAUUUGUAUUGGGACAUACUACCAACAUUGACUGGAAUUUGAGUGGAAGUGAUCCCGGCCCUGGUAAACAGCACGCUUUCAAAUAUCUUAAUUCUAUUGUCAUUUCUAUUUUUCGGUUCUGGUUACUAACUAACGCGGCUAACACUGUGCCAGGACUGUCGGUGCUCCAGCCAACUAGGUGACACUGUGUCGGCAAGGCCGGUUCUAAGCAUAAGCGACAUAAACAGUCACUUAGGGCCCCCCGAGCACUAGGUGGUCCCAUACUGCUAGGGACAACUAGGGGAGGGGGCCCAAAAUAAAGUUUUGCUUAGCAAAAGGCUAAAGCCUAAAGGGCCGGCGUUCAUGCUAAGAUGCGGCAGAUUUUGGUAACUGAUGGCACCACACCCCUAUUGCACUGAGUCUCAGAUGUGUUUGCGCUAGCAUGACAAUGGAAGCACACGGCUAGAUAAAGAAGACCAGACAGGACGCCGGGAAACGGAUCCGGGGUCAGGCUAUUACAUGCCAACAGAUCACCGGCAAAACAAAGAUUCAUCAUCACAGUAACAUUCACUACAGUAUACAUUCGGUUAAACCUUUGGGUCCAUGGUAUUUUUACACUGUGUCCAUAAGUACUUUAGCAGGCAUUUCAGGAUUACCAUACGAUUUGCUUUUUUACUACAGAGAAAUGGCUAGAGACUGUAAGGGUGAAGGUUAGGAUUCAACCACAUUGCAGGUUAUGUGUUGCAUCUAGGUAACAUUGAUGUCCCGCAAAUCCAAUAAACAAAUAUUAUGCUGUGCACUCUCAAAGACCUUUAGCAAAUUCCAUGUGUGUUUUCUUCUUACGUAAUAUUUGGCGUCUAUUGGUUUUCUGUUUUUUUUUGAGUACUCCAUUUCUUUGGAGUACAGUAAGGGGAAUACCUUCUACCAGUCUCAUCUCAGAUCCACAGAGGGAAGUGGCGGUGAUAGGAUGAUGGUGAUCCACAGAGGGAAGUGGCGGUGAUAGGAUGAUGGUGAUCCACAGAGGGAAGUGGAGGUGAUAGGAUGAUGGUGAUUCACACAGGGAAGUGGCAGUGAUAGGAUGAUGGUGAUCCACACAGGAAAUGGUGGUGGUAGGAUGAUGGUGGUCGGAUUGUGGUGGUGGUACCACCAACGACAAUGACAGUAUUUUGUUGUUGUUGGUGGUAUGAUGACAGGUGUGGUGGGAUGAUGACGUUUGUGGGAUGAUGAUGCUGGUGGUAGAGGUCAGAUGAUGGUGGUGGUAUUAGUGGUUAUAGUGGUGGUGGGUUGAUGAUGAAGGAGGUCAGAUAAUGGUGGGAUGUGGGUGGUGGUGGUAGAUGUCAGGUGAUGGUGGAUUGAUGGUGGUGGUAGAGGUCAGGUGAUAGUGGGAUGAUGGUGGUGGUAGAGGUCAGGUGAUAGUGGGAUGAUGGUGGUGGUAGAGGUCAGGUUAUAGUGGGUUGAUGGUGGUGGUAGAGGUCAGGUGAUAGUGGGUUGAUGGUGGUGGUAGAGGUCAGGUGAUAGUGGGUUGAUGGUGGUGGUAGAGGUCAGGUGAUAGUGGGUUGAUGGUGGUGGUAGAGGUCAGGUGAUAGUGGGUUGAUGGUGGUGGUAGAG
ensembl:lncRNA